CCCAGAGUUUCCUGCGUUCGUCUUUUCCCUCGCCAUACUCCAACCACAAAACUGCAGACACACAGUCUCUUUCAUUCCAAUUCUCCUUCUCCUUUGAAAAUUUCAAUUCUUUUCUCUGUCUUCCUUAAAAGCAAAAACCGUAGCCAUUGCCCAGCCUCCACCCAUGUACCGCAGGGAAAAAAUCAAGUGGUUGGAAGUAAAGCCUCAAUCCCAAUCAACCCGAUUAAAAGGAAAAAAAAAAUUAAAAAAUCAAAAACUUCCGAUUCCCAUGUAUCCAUAGUUUGCAAUCAAAGAACGUCUUUCAAUUCUCUACCGAUUAGUUUUUCUCUUUGCUUUUCAGUUUAUGCAUUAAUUAUGAUCAAGUUUUUAUAAUUUGGCUGGAUUCUUUUUUAUUUAAAUUUUUUGGUUAUACUUCUGAUUAAGGUAUUUGAGUUAGGUUUGGUUUUGUUUUGGUAUUUGGUUAAAUUGAUGUCUGGGUGUCUAUUUAUGGUGUCUAGUUAAAAAUAGAGCAAUAGAUUAUUCUAGAAAAAAAUAUAAGCCACACGAACAGGGUAGGAAUAAGAAAUGACAAUUGGGCUUUUUCCUUAUCUAGGUAUUUUAGAAUCAUUAACGUGGAUCUCUUUGAGGGAUGCUAUUAUGAUCUAGGUUUUUCAAUUAGGAGCAAUUUUGUUUAAUUAGUUUAAACAGAUAGGUUAGAUUUGGGUUUGAGGGAUUUUGGUUAGAAGUUGUUUUAUUUAGGGUAUCUGAAUGCAAAGUGUUUGUUAAAAUGUCUAGGUGUUUUGCUCUUCUUUUUUUUCUUUUUAUAGAAUUUGUUUUUGAUAACAUACCUCCUAUUUCAUUUUGCCAGCCCCUAAUAGAAAUGAAUAAUAGGAUGAAAUUACCCUUUUACUUUAACUUUUGUGAUUUUACUUUACUGUUAUAUAAAUCUCCACGUGGAACAAAGUCUAAUUGAGGAAGAAGCUAAGUUGGUUCUAAGUAGUAAUGGAAGUAGUAAAAGUAGAAUGCAUGGAUCUUUUUAAUGCUCUUUGAUUUAUUAUUAUUUUGUUGCUUACUGUGUUGAUGUUAAGGACUUAAUGUCAAUUUUAUUUUGUAUAGGUACUAUCACUUUAGUCAUGGGCACAAUUUGAUGUGUUUUGAUGUAUGUGUUUGUUGUUCACAAGUAGAGGGAUAUCACUCCACUAGACGUGAAUGGCGAUGUUGGGAUCUCAGACAAAGAUGGUGAGAUGAAGAAGUUUUAAGACAAAGAACAUGAAGCUAACAACAACCAAGUUGCCUUCUCCACCAAAUUUCUUCCAAGGUAUGACGAGGCCUGAAAUCAAGAUGAAGUGCAUUGUCCCAGUUGUUAUGGCUAGAAUGCUUGGUUAUGCACAUUUUGAUUGGUAUGCCAAUUGAUAUAUUGGUGAUGCUAGUGUUAGGUUCAUGGGUUCAAUUUCUUUAGCUGAAGAAGUAUUAAGACGAAGGAUGUGAAAUGGACAACAAUCUUGCUUCUCCACCAAUUUGCUUCCAAGGAAGGAUGAUCACACCAUUCUCUUUAGCUGGAUUUUUUUUUUUUUUCAAUUGCUAGAAAUAUUUUUCUCUCCAUCAUAGUUGAUGUUAUAAUUUUAGUUGUUUAGAAUAGGCUUAAAAGAAAAUCUAUUUGUAAGACAGCACAUAUUUUUAUGGAUAGCAUACUGAGUGCUAUAUACAUUUUAAAUUUGAAAUUCAUACCAA